rnacentral:rRNA from 1 species
GAUGAACGCUGGCGGCGUGCUUAACACAUGCAAGUCGAACGGUGAACACGGAGCUUGUUCUGUGGGAUCAGUGGCGAACGGGUGAGUAACACGUGAGCAACCUGCCCCUGACUCUGGGAUAAGCGCUGGAAACGGCGUCUAAUACUGGAUACGAGUAGCGGCCGCAUGGUCAGUUACUGGAAAGAUUUUUUGGUUGGGGAUGGGCUGGCGGCCUAUCAGCUUGUUGGUGAGGUAAUGGCUCACCAAGGCGUCGACGGGUAGCCGGCCUGAGAGGGUGACCGGCCACACUGGGACUGAGACACGGCCCAGACUCCUACGGGAGGCAGCAGUGGGGAAUAUUGCACAAUGGGCGAAAGCCUGAUGCAGCAACGCCGCGUGAGGGAUGACGGCCUUCGGGUUGUAAACCUCUUUUAGCAGGGAAGAAGCGAAAGUGGCGGUACCUGCAGAAAGAGCGCCGGCUAACUACGUGCCAGCCGCCGCCGUAA